rnacentral:lncRNA from 1 species
UAAGACAAGACAACACAAAUUGAUCAUGCUUCAUCUAAUUAGUAUAGUUAGGAUUAAUAAUAUAUUUUACAUCAUUGACAAUAGUCUUUAGGGGCAUUGGAACUGAUCAAUCAACAUAUAUACCUCAUUGUCGCGGCAAAGGAGAUAGCUCUCUAAGAAAAGACAUUGCCUAACGAAGUCAUUAGGUAAAGUGAUUAUUCAAGAAGAGGAAGAAAGAGAGAAAGAUUGCUUAAGGUACUACUUAAGAGGAGGGCAAGAU